GAGAUCCCUGCCUUCCUGAGGUCUUCUAAAGGCAUCUCUCAGUGAGUCCAUCAGACAAUUGUGCUCCAUCUUGGCUGCAGUUUUUCCAAAAAGCGCACCUCAAGAGAGUACACAAAAGCUAAAGGAGGUGGAAAUUUCCUGUGGGUAAAGGGAAACCUCAGAGUUAGAAAAGGCAGAUGAGAGCAGUGGAGAAAGCAUUGAUCAGCCUCUUUGCCUAAAUGGUGCUGUAAAUUUGCCCUGUUUAACACAAGUUGGUUGUGACUGCUGGGCUGAAAUGCCUCUGCAGGAUCAGAUUAAGCUCCGGAGGACCUCAUAAAUUAACUACAGCAGCCUAAGACAUCCUUUAUUUUGUGCUGAAUGCCCAAAGCAUCAUCUUCUCUGAGGACAAAAUAGUGGACAAGGAUGAUGAAGACACAUAUCAGUGGCAGACACAUGGUACCAAUGAAAUACUGUCAAAAGGUGAGACGGAAGAGCCAGGGCAGACAUAAAAGAUAACUGCUGCUUCCCUAAUGGUCUGGUAGGCUUUCACGCUUUUCUGGUCAAAGUCAAAAAUACCUCCUUAAAGGACAGGACAACAGAGAAAGUAACUCAGUUUUGCGAAGCAAGGACACAACAAGCAGAACUACACUGGCAGAAGCCAGCUCACACAUGUGCAAAUCAGCACAAUCCAUUGCCUCCUGUUCAGCUCUGCCUAGCUCAGCACCCAUGGCCCUGACCCAUGGCUUGGCAGACUCCCUCACAGGACUCCUGCUGUCCUUGGUGUGAGGUGUACAGGGCCCUAUUUCACCAUUUGACACUGAUAAAGCCAAUCCCUAUUUUUUUUUUUUUGCAGCCUUUGAAGUCCCCACCACUUUGGUUAGGGCCUGCAAAGAGAAGCAUGCAGGCUGACAGAGCAGUCUCUGAACCAAAUGAUUUAUUUGGAAGCAAAUUUAGCUGUUCCAAAACAUGGAAUUGUGAUGAACUGAGAAACCUGGCAGACAGCAUUUCUUAUGUUAAGGGUGUGGGUGAUUUUGCCUUGGAAAGAUAAUGGCAGGUUCAUUAGGCAGAAAGUUCACAUGCACCCAAGGACAGAUAGCGUUAUGGCUAAAGGUUAUCAUGCAGUUAAUUUGCGUAAGUAGGCAAUCUGUCUGAUCCUAAUUGGGGGGCAGAUGUGCAAAAUGGUGGUGGUGAUUUUUUUCUUUUUCAUUUCAAAAUGUUCAAUUUUGGAGUCUAGUUUAUCAUUUAUUUAGGAUUGAAAAAUCACUAAGGCAAGACUUCAAACUUAACUUGCUUUGAAAAGGUUGAAAUGAGGCAUUCUGGAAGCAUGACAUUCUUGGGGAGAGGAAACAGAAGUUUGAUGUGGGGGUGUGGGGGGGAAAAAAAAAACAACUAACAAAAGCAGUUCAACUUCAGCAAAAUGGGAUUUUCUACUGCAAAUCUCCCAGCCUGCCUUCAAGGCUGACUGUGCCCCAGAGAUUCACAGCCCCUUUUCCAAGGGAGUCGCUUUGUGAUUGCAGUGGGGAGCUGGAGCAUUCUGGCAGCUUGGACAUGCACUGCAAGACUUUGGUUCUUAUACUGCUGCUGUUAAACAAAUGAAACCAACCUAAACAAAUCCAAUCCAACCCAUACCAACUAAAACCAAAACAACAACAAACACACAAAAGAACCCAAACACCAUGACUUUUACUAGCUCAUUAGGGCAGGAAGCUACACUUUUUGGGGUACCCAAAGGGAACUCCAGGGGAUGGUCAAAGGGAGAAGUUCUGCAACAAAUUUGUUAAGACAUUGCUGAGCAUUGAUGAUUGCCUACAGAGCCAGAGCAACAGAAACGUAUGGUUUCACCCUUUGAUCCCUUAAACAAUUCUGUAUGAAGUUUUAACAGCAUGUUUCCUGAAAUACUGAAGAAAGCAGAGCCAUGGCCUAAAAAAAAAUCUUGUAGUCAAAAAGGAGAAUUGAGCUCUGGGAGGGUGAGAGUGUGGAAGCUGGGGGCCAUCAGCUGCCUGGGGCAGUGGGGUGAUGUGGGACAUGUCCCAGAGCAGGGCUGGAGCUGUCACAUCUUGUCUGACUGUCCUGGAGGGCAAGGCAGUGCCUGGGAAGCUACUCCAACCAAUGAGCUCCCCUUGGGCCCUAUCAUGGCCAGGCAGGGCCUUCCUCAGAGACCACAUGCAGGGUGCCAGGGUCAAGGAGCAGGAAAAGCUUCUUUUCAUCUUUCUCCCUACUUUAACAAUGCCUUAAGGUGAUGACAAUAAUACCUGGUGGCAGUUUUAGUCACACAGCAGUUUUCUUGGAAGAUGUCUCAGCAGCACAAAUGAGAAGUCAGUAUCAUUUUCCAAAGUGCAAAUCUUUCAAUUUCGAAGACUGCUCUCAAGGAGCAACUGGAAACAUCCAGCCGAAAACUGGCUUCCAGCUGGAAAGGGCCAUAAUGACUAUCAAGGUGGCAGCGAUUCCUCAACCCAAACUGCACCUCUGCUCUCGCUUUGAACCCACCAUCCGAGGCAGGAGCAGGACAACGGAGCGGGUGGAAGAGGGGCUGGGACCGCCCUGUGCUGAGCCUCCGGGGAGCAGAGCCGCGGCCAUGGUGCAGAUGGCAGCGCCAUUUUCAGAGCUAUAAACAGCGUCAUUGUCAUAGCUCUUUGAAUGGUACUGCCAUAUGUACCGGAAAAACAGCAUCUAUGCUUGGGAGGGCUUGGGGCCAGCUGGAUUUUCUCCCCAUUUGGAUGAAGCCGAUUCCUGAAGUAUGAAUGAAAGCUGCAUGCUGCCUGGGAGUAAUUCCCCCUCGACGCUUGUUUUUGAGUCUCUGAAGAUCAUCGCGUUCUGCUCUGUCUUCUAUCAGCAAAACUAAGCGUCCUGCACAUGGAAGGGUUGCUGAUGCAUCUAAACCACCCUGCUCAGUUCAAGAAGCACCUGAACGUUCAUGGAAAUUUGGAUAGAAGAUUAGACCACCUCUGUGUGCUGCAAAGAGCAUUUGACUGUGUCUAUAUGGGGCAGGUAGAAAACAGUUGUUUUACGUGCCCUGGUGCAUUACCUGCUAUGCUCUUCCAGUUGUGUUGCUGAGGGAACAGCUGCUGCAGCAAAGGGAGAAGAGCAAGGCAGAAAGCUGCACAGAUAGGAACUGUGCUGCAGGAAUCAGACCCCGAUCUGCAGGGCUGGGGUGCAGCGGGGGGGCUCUCAGGGACAUGCUUCUGGAGCAAGAGCAGCCUGUGACCUUGGCUGGGUGGUGGCCAGGCCUUUGGCUGAUGGAAGCCAGAUAUCUCUGUUUAAUAUUUACCUGAUUUCUGCUUUGUAAGAACCUACAGAGAUCUGGGAGUCACAGAGCCGUGCAAUGUGUUUCUGAUUCUGUGUGGUAUCAGCAAUAGAUUACGAUGGCUGAUGAGUCCAGGCGCUUGUGAUAAACGCACAGCUUAAUUACCCACCCGUUUAGAGACAUAUUCUAGGAACUAAUUAAUUCUUUCAGUUUCUGCAUUAAACCAUUGCAUAAAACAUCCCUUCAAACAGAACAUUAUAUGUUAUGCUACUGUAAUUAAAUAAAGAGUUAACGGAGCUUGAGAGAUGCCCACAGCACUUAAUGAGGAUUAAUUAAGCAACAUGAUUUACAGCUGGAGAAGAUGAAACUGAGCAUUUCCAAGCUGGCAAGGCGAAGCAGCUGUGGCUGCUGAAUUCAUGGAGGCACACAUGGGGAAUGUGCCUCUGCAGGAGCUCUGCUACAGCAGCCUUGCUGGCUACGUUUGUCUAUCGUAGACUCAUUAAGAUUGGAAGAAACCAGUAAGAUCAUCAGGUCCAACAGUCAAGCUAUCACCACCAUGCCACUAAGCCACAUCCUUCUGUGCCACAUCCACCGUUUGCUGGAAGUCUCCUGCAGCAGUGACUCAUUUAGCAAGGUUGCAUUCAACCCCUGCAGCACACCCCUUGUUUGGCUGAACGCAUACCUCCCUAUUUGCCUGCUAGGAGUUCAGACCUUGGCAGCUGGAGACUUAAAGGGCAGAUAAAGCACAGCCAAAAUUUCUACCAGGUUUCCUUUACAAGCCCUCCCUGUGACAGCCGCUAAAUUAGCCUGUUCUUAAUUUCUCUGAUCUUUUCCUCUGAUAGCAACACAGUUUAUCUGUGUAACAGCAUUAUUACACUCCAGGCACGCCAGCUGUAGGAAAUGGCUGGCUGAUAUUGGUUGUCUUUGUCCUGUUCAGAACAAACAGUUCAAGUGGUCAGCAUCAUCAGUUCUCACUUCAGGAGAGAAAUCUUACGUUGUCUCUCCCAGAAACAAAAAGAAAGAAACUCAGUUGUUCUAG